AAUGAACGCUGGCGGAAUGCUUUACACAUGCAAGUCGAACGGCAGCACGGACUUCGGUCUGGUGGCGAGUGGCGAACGGGUGAGUAAUGUAUCGGAACGUGCCCAGUCGUGGGGGAUAACGUAGUGAAAAUUACGCUAAUACCGCAUACGACCUAUGGAUGAAAGCGGGGGAUCGCAAGACCUCGCGCGAUUGGAUCGGCCGAUAUCAGAUUAGGUAGUUGGUGGGGUAAGGGCCCACCAAGCCAACGAUCUGUAGCUGGUCUGAGAGGACGACCAGCCACACUGGAACUGAGACACGGUCCAGACUCCUACGGGAGGCAGCAGUGGGGAAUUUUGGACAAUGGGCGAAAGCCUGAUCCAGCCAUUCCGCGUGCAGGAUGAAGGCCCUCGGGUUGUAAACUGCUUUUGUACAGAACGAAAAGGUUUCUACUAAUACUAGGAGCUCAUGACGGUACUGUAAGAAUAAGCACCGGCUAACUACGUGCCAGCCGCCGCCGUAA
rnacentral:rRNA from 1 species